CUAUGGCACUGCUGAGGUGUUAUGGAAGACCAUGAUGCUUUAAUAGCAGCCGUCAGCUCUUCUGAAUUGUUCGGUCUCAUGUCUCUCAUCUUUCUCUAUGGGGUUUAGGUCAGGCGAGUUUGCUGGCCAAUCAAGCACAGUAAUCCCAUGGUCAUUGAACCAGGUUUUUGUACUUUUGGGAGUGUGGGCAGGUGCCAAGUCCUGCUGGAAAAUGAAGUCACCAUCUCCAUAAAGCUUGUCUGCGGAAGGAAGCAUGAAGUGCUCCAAAAUUUCCUGGUAGACGGCUGCGCUGACUCUAGACUUAAUGAAGCACAGUGGACCAACACCAGCAGAUGACAUGGCUCCCCAAAUCAACACAGACUGUGGAAACUUCACAAUGGACUUCAAGCAUCUUGCAUUAUGUGCCUCUCCAUUCUUCCUCCAGACUCUGGGUCUGCAAAAGUUGCUCUCAUCAGAAAAGAGGACUUUGGGCCACUGAGCAACAGAGCAGUUCUUUUUUUCUUUAGCCCAGGACCCCAGAGCUCUUCUGUAGAGGAAUCACAUAAAAAGACAGGAGAUUACUGCUUUAUUCAUUUUUAUUACACGGAAUCUGAGAGCAGCAAAAGGCAGUGAGAGGCAGAAUUAUAAUGAAACAUAAUCCCACCAUUUAGCAGAUAGCACUGGAUCUACGGCUGACAACAGGUGAUGGGCACUGCUUAAUCCUCACCUCUCCCCCACCCACUAUGACCUCUGCACAGGUCACCGAGCAUUAGUCAGUAAGUCAUCAACUGACACCAAGACUCCAGUAUCGCACCAGUCUAUGCGGCUGCUUUAAAGCAAAUCCCUGAUGGCUGC